rnacentral:rRNA from 1 species
GAUGAACGCUGGCGGCGUGCCUAAUACAUGCAAGUCGAGCGAACGGACGAGCAGCUUGCUUCUCUGAUGUUAGCGGCGGACGGGUGAGUAACACGUGGAUAACCUACCUAUAAGACUGGGAUAACUUCGGGAAACCGGAGCUCACACCGGAUAAUAUUUUGAACCGCAUGGUUCAACAGUGAAAGCCGGUCUUGAUGUCACUUAUAGAUGGUUCCGCGCUGCAUUAGCUAGUUGGUAAGGUAACGGCUUACCAAGGCAACGAUGCAUAGCCGACCUGAGAGGGUGAUCGGCCACACUGGAACUGAGGCACGGUCCAGACUCCUACGGGAGGCAGCAGUAGGGAAUCUUCCGCAAUGGGCGAAAGCCUGACGGAGCAACGCCGCGUGAGUGAUGAAGGUCUUCGGAUCGUAAAACUCUGUUAGUGGGGAAGAACAGAUGUGUAAGUAACUGUGCACAUCUUGACGGUACCUAAUCAGAAAGCCACGGCUAACUACGUG